rnacentral:sRNA from 1 species
UCAAGCAAGUUGGGGAAC